CUGCUGCUGCUGCCGCCGCGGCUGGCGCUGGUGACGUCAGCCACUGACGUCACGGCCGCUCAGCUGGCGGCACUGGCUGCUGCCUGCAUCGGCGCUGCGGGCACCCUCAUCGCUGUCUGCCUCAUGCUGGAGAUCAAAUCAAACUUGUGCGGCCGGCGAGAGCGGCGCGCGGCCCGUGGCGAGCCGAUGUUCGUCGCGACCGCCACCCCGCCCAGUCCAGUGCAGACCAAGGUCCCCGCCACCGCCGAGCUCAUCUCCAUACAGCCGGACGCCGCGCCGCGCUAUGACGUCACGCAGUAGCUCUGACGUCACAGGGGGGCCGCGGUUGACUGCGCGAGGCGGGCUUCAGUAUCGGGCUGGGGAGGUGUGUGCGGUCUGGGAGGUGGGCUCGACACACCAGCCGGAGAGGCGCGAGCCUCGCCUGGGUGAUACCUCGGGGUGCGCGGGUAGCGCUGUGAGGCAUACAUAUAUCAGUAUUUUGUAGUGUACCUCGCGUGUGUGCCAGGGACGUGACUCCGUUAUCGAGGUGGAAUGUGCCCAGUCGCAUUGCUGCUGCUAUGUGGGAACCUGUCAUGGCUAGAGAAAAAAAGAUGGGCCAUUAAGCAGGCGUUGUCUUCACGUUAGAACGUCUCCGCAGACGUUAGAACUUCCUAGCGUAUCCAAGCCAAGCUAAUCAAUUGUCCGUCACCAAUUCCGUUGUGUUCGAUGUGUAAAUUGGGCACGCAAAUUAAUAUAUGAAAACUCCAUCGA